GAUGAACGCUAGCUACAGGCUUAACACAUGCAAGUCGAGGGGAAACGACAUCGAAAGCUUGCUUUUGAUGGGCGUCGACCGGCGCACGGGUGAGUAACGCGUAUCCAACCUGCCCACCACUUGGGGAUAACCUUGCGAAAGUAAGACUAAUACCCAAUGAUAUCUCUAGAAGACAUCUGAAAGAGAUUAAAGAUUUAUCGGUGAUGGAUGGGUAUGCGUCUGAUUAGCUUGUUGGCGGUGUAACGGCCCACCAAGGCUACGAUCAGUAGGGGUUCUGAGAGGAAGGUCCACCACAUUGGAACUGAGACACGGUCCAAACUCCUACGGGAGGCAGCAGUGAGGAAUAUUGGUCAAUGGACGAGAGUCUGAACCAGCCAAGUAGCGUGCAGGAUGACGGCCCUAUGGGUUGUAAACUGCUUUUAUAAGGGAAUAAAGUGAGUCUCGUGAGACUUUUUGCAUGUACCUUAUGAAUAAGGACCGGCUAAUUCCGUGCCAGCCGCCGCCGUAA
rnacentral:rRNA from 1 species